AAUAUUGGACCGGACCGGGUCGGGUCCGUUUGGGUUUAUAUAUAUACACAGCUAGGGUUUGAGGUCCAUUAUGUUUUCAUUAUUCUUGCUAGCACAAGAGAGAAACCCUAGUCGUUGCAGUCUAUUCUCUGUGUGGAUUACAUUGGAGGCUGGACAAUUGGACAGCUGUGGGAGGCAGAUUCAAGCUGCUGGAAAGGAAUAACGCGAAGGAGUUUGCAAAUCACAAGUAAAGGUAUAUUUCUUAUCACAGUUUUUAUUUAAAUACAAAGCUGAAUCCUGAAUGGGAAUUGAAACUUGUUAAAUUCCGCUGUGCAUGUUUAAGUAAAUUCCCAACAAUUACAUCUCAUACUCGAAUUUCUCACCUUCACAUUGCACCCUUCUCCUUAGCAUUUAUUCCAACUUUGAGCCUCAAUUCUACCAACAAGCUGUGAAAUUUGAGCACUGGAGGGAUGCAAGGGCCACUGAACUAGCAGCCAUGGAAAUGAAUCGAACCUGGAUUGUUAUUUUCACAUAUUGUCUGCUUUAGGGCUUUGGAAAUUCUGUUCUGCCAGCUAUAUACAGUAGCUAACUUCUAUAUGCGAGCAAAACCAUCACAGGACUCCUCCAGAACAGACCCAUGAGGUCAGUCCCACACGGGACCCAUGGAUGUUAAAAAAUUGCAAAAAAAUGCUGACCUCUCCCAUGUAAAGCCUCUGUAAGUGUUUUUUUUUUUUUU
rnacentral:lncRNA from 1 species